AAGUCGUAACAAGGUUUCCGUAGGUGAACCUGCGGAAGGAUCAUUAUUGAAAUAAACCUGAUGGGUUGUUGCUGGUUCUCUAGGGAGCAUGUGCACGCUUGUCAUCUUUAUAUCUCCACCUGUGCACCUUUUGUAGAUCUGAAUAUCUUUCUGAAUGCCUAGCAUUUGGGUUUGAAGAUCGACUUUGUUGUCUUUCUUUACAUUUUCAGAUCUAUGUUUCUUCAUAUACCCCAAUGUAUGUUAUAGACUGUAUUAAACGGGCCUUUGUGCCUAUAAACUUAUACAACUUUCAGCAACGGAUCUCUUGGUUCUC
rnacentral:misc_RNA from 1 species